CUAAGCUCAUCCAUUAACUGUUCUGCAGCGGUAGCAACACAUCUGGUUUGUAUUUCUCUAUUUGUUGCUCGCCAACAUCUGCAAUUUCUUAGCUUUGACGUUCCGUACCAUUUUAAUUGCAGCAACAGCUUGGCUUUUAUCUCUGAUUUUGAGCCAUGGCAGCAGGUCAGCCACGGGCCAUGUUAGGCACAUUCAGUUAUCAGCUUGCACUUCGAAAGCAUCAAAGUGGCAUGGAACAGAAGAUUUCAAGUCUCGGAAUCUGAAGCCUUAUUUUUCUGCAGAAAUGUGGACAAGCAGGCUAUAAAACAUACUUUGGAAGAAGAAGCUAGGAGGUGCCAGAGGCUGGUGCUAUGGCUUGAUUGUGAUAGAGAGGUUGAGAACAUAGCAUAUGAAGUGAUCGGAGUUUGGACAGGAUUGUGGACGCUGGACGUGCGUUAGUUAAUUGACUAAGCUACCUUUAUGAUUUAAGUAUUAGGCAAAUUUUAAUGAAUUUGACUGAAUGCGCUAGCUCUGCAUGGUGGAUUGGUGGUGUGGCCUUUGAACAACCAAAAGGUGUGUAAUCCUAAAAGAAAUUUUUGAUCAGCAUCUGUUAGCAUUCAGCAUGAUAGAUGGAUUCUUUAGCUCAGUAUUCAGCAUUCCAGCUUCUCAAGUUAAUUUAGUCACCGCAAGGCGUUCAUGUGUGGAAUUGUAUAGAUCGAUUUGCGAGAGAAGAGAUCCAAGCUAUUUGCUCGGCCUUCUGGACU